rnacentral:rRNA from 1 species
AACGAACGCUGGCGGCAUGCCUAACACAUGCAAGUCGAACGAGACCUUCGGGUCUAGUGGCGCACGGGUGCGUAACGCGUGGGAACCUGCCCUUAGGUUCGGAAUAACUCCCCGAAAGGGGUGCUAAUACCGGAUAAUGUCUUCGGACCAAAGAUUUAUCGCCUUUGGAUGGGCCCGCGUUGGAUUAGCUAGUUGGUAGGGUAAAAGCCUACCAAGGCGACGAUCCAUAGCUGGUCUGAGAGGAGGAUCAGCCACACUGGGACUGAGACACGGCCCAGACUCCUACGGGAGGCAGCAGUGGGGAAUAUUGGACAAUGGGCGAAAGCCUGAUCCAGCAAUGCCGCGUGAGUGAUGAAGGCCUUAGGGUUGUAAAGCUCUUUUACCCGGGAUGAUAAGGACAGUACCGGGAGAAUAAGCUCCGGCUAACUCCG